AAUCAACGCUGGCGGCGUGCCUCAGACAUGCAAGUCGAACGAUUAAAGCUCUCUUCGGAGAGUGUAUAGAGUGGCGCACGGGUGAGUAACACGUAAGUAAUCUACCUUUGAGUGGGGAAUAACGUCCGGAAACGGACGCUAAUACCGCAUAAUGCAGCGGCAUCGCAAGAUGACAGUUGUUAAAGAUUUAUCGCUUGAAGAGGAGCUUGCGGCAGAUUAGCUAGUUGGUAAGGUAAUGGCUUACCAAGGCUACGAUCUGUAACCGGUCUAAGAGGACGGUCGGUCACACUGACACUGAAUAACGGGUCAGACUCCUACGGGAGGCAGCAGUCGGGAAUUUUGGGCAAUGGGCGAAAGCCUGACCAGCAACGCCGCGUGAAGGAUGAAGUA
rnacentral:rRNA from 1 species